rnacentral:rRNA from 1 species
GUCUAUGGCCAUACCACCCUGAAUGCGCCCGAGCUUGUCUGAUCUCGGAAGCAAGCAGGUUAGGGCCUGGUUAGUACUUGGAUGGGAGAAUGCUUGAUCAGAUAUACU